rnacentral:rRNA from 1 species
GGCUGGUAUGAACGGUUGGACGAGGUAUAAGCUGUUUCAUAUAAAUUUAUAAUAGAAUUUUAUAUUUUAGUCAAAAAGCUAAAAUAUUAUUAAAAGACGAGAAGACCCUAUAAAUCUUUAUAUUUUUUUUUAUUUAAAUUUUUUGGGUUUAUUUUAUUUUUAUAAUAGAAAAUAUUUUGUUGGGGUGAUGUUAAAAUUUAAUGAACUUUUAAUUGUAAAAAAUCAUUAAUUUAUGAGUUAUUGAUCCAUUAGUAGUGAUUAUAAGAUUAAGUUACUUUAGGGAUAACAGCGUAAUUUUUUUGGAGAGUUCAUAUCGAUAAAAAAGUUUGCGACCUCGAUGUUGGAU